UUAUUUAUAGUGGCUAAAUGCGGCAUGCGGUAGGUGAUCAGGAAGGCUGCCGACCUCCAUUGCACUUAGGAGGGAUCAUCGCCUAAUAUCUCCCCAACCCAAGUGGGAGCGUAUACGUCAUAAUUUGUGACAGUGGGGGUAACCCGUA
rnacentral:snRNA from 14 species